UCACCGGGUGAAAAACGGUUAG
rnacentral:miRNA from 1 species